rnacentral:rRNA from 1 species
UAAGGUUAAGUGAAUAAGGGCGCACGGUGGAUGCCUUGGCACUAGGAGCCGAUGAAGGACGGGACUAACACCGAUAUGCUUUGGGGAGCUGUACGUAAGCUAUGAUCCAGAGAUUUCCGAAUGGGGGAACCCAGCAUCUUUAAUAGGAUGUUACGAUUGUGUGAAUACAUAGCACAUUCGAGGUAGACGCAGAGAACUGAAACAUCUAAGUACCUGCAGGAAGAGAAAGAAAAUUCGAUUCCCUGAGUAGCGGCGAGCGAAACGGGAAAAGCCCAAACCAGCAAGCUUGCUUGUUGGGGUUGUAGGACUCCAAUAUGGUAGUUCUUUCAGAUAGUCGAAUGACUUGGAAAAGUCAGUCAAAGAGGGUAAAAACCCCGKAGACGAAAUGUGGAAGACACCUAGGAGGAUCCCGAGUACGGGGGAACAAGAGAAAUUCGCUCGGAAUCCGGGAGGACCAUCUCCCAAGGCUAAAUACUCCCUAGGGACCGAUAGUGAACAAGAACCGGUAGGGAAAGGUGAAAAGCACCCCGGAAGGGGAGUG